rnacentral:rRNA from 1 species
GCAACGCCGCGUGAGGGACGACGGCCUUCGGGUUGUAAACCUCUUUUAGCAGGGAAGAAGCGAAAGUGACGGUACCUGCGGAAAAAGCACCGGCUAACUACGUGCCAGCAGCCGCGGUAAUACGUAGGGUGCAAGCGUUGUCCGGAAUUAUUGGGCGUAAAGAGCUCGUAGGCGGUUUGUCGCGUCUGCUGUGAAAUCCCGAGGCUCAACCUCGGGUCUGCAGUGGGUACGGGCAGACUAGAGUGCGGUAGGGGAGAUUGGAAUUCCUGGUGUAGCGGUGGAAUGCGCAGAUAUCAGGAGGAACACCGAUGGCGAAGGCAGAUCUCUGGGCCGCUACUGACGCUCAGGAACGAAAGGGUGGGGAGCAAACAGGCUUAGAUACCCUGGUAGUCCACCCCGUAAACGUUGGGCGCUAGAUGUGGGGACCAUUCCACGGUUUCCGUGUCGUAUCUUACGCAUUAAGCGCCCCGCCUGGGGAGUACGGCCGCAAGGCUAAAACUCACAGGAAUUGACGGGGGCCCGCACAAGCGGCGGACCAUGCGGAUUAAUUCAAUGCAACGCGAAGAACCUUACCAAGGCUUGACAUAUACCAGAACGGGCCAUAAAUGGUCAACUCUUUGGACACUC